GGGGAGCAAAACAGCUAUGGGUCAAGCCCGAGAUCUUUAGGAGAAGUCUUAUUGUGAGGGCGAGUUAUAUAACACCAUAGGGCUGGCCGUCCCAUAUGAAAAGAUUUUAUUAGAAUUGAAUGAAGCUUUGUUUAUAUAUUGAUAAUGACAGUAUAUAUAUCGUGUCUUGACUAAUUGCGUGCCAGCAGUCGCGGUAAUACGUAAGAGACUAGUGUUAUUCAUCUUAAUUAGGUUUAAAGGGUACCCAGACGGUCAAUAUAGCUUAUAAAAUGUUAGUACUUGACUAGAGUUUUAUGUAAGAGGGCAGUACUUGAGGAGGAGAGAUGAAAUUUCGUGAUACCAAAGGGACUCUGUAAAGGCGAAGGCAGCCCUCUAUGUAAAAACUGACGUUGAAGGACGAAGGCACAGAGAACAAACAGGAUUAGAUACCCAAGUAGUCUUUGCAGUAAAUGAUGAAUGCCAUAGGUUAGAUUAAUAGUUAAUGUUUAUAGACUAAUUGGUGGUUUAGUGGUUUUUUACUUUUACGGCUU
rnacentral:rRNA from 1 species